rnacentral:rRNA from 1 species
AUUGAACGCUGGCGGAAUGCUUUACACAUGCAAGUCGAACGGCAGCACGGGGGCAACCCUGGUGGCGAGUGGCGAACGGGUGAGUAAUAUAUCGGAACGUGCCCAGUCGUGGGGGAUAACGUAGCGAAAGUUACGCUAAUACCGCAUACGAUCUACGGAUGAAAGCGGGGGAUCGCAAGACCUCGCGCGAUUGGAGCGGCCGAUAUCAGAUUAGGUAGUUGGUGAGGUAAAGGCUCACCAAGCCAACGAUCUGUAGCUGGUCUGAGAGGACGACCAGCCACACUGGGACUGAGACACGGCCCAGACUCCUACGGGAGGCAGCAGUGGGGAAUUUUGGACAAUGGGCGCAAGCCUGAUCCAGCCAUUCCGCGUGCAGGACGAAGGCCUUCGGGUUGUAAACUGCUUUUGUACGGAACGAAAAAGCCUUGGUUAAUACCCAGGGUCCAUGACGGUACCGUAAGAAUAAGCACCGGCUAACUACGUGCCAGCAGCCGCGGUAAUACGUAGGGUGCAAGCGUUAAUCGGAAUUACUGGGCGUAAAGCGUGCGCAGGCGGUUAUAUAAGACAGAUGUGAAAUCCCCGGGCUCAACCUGGGAACUGCAUUUGUGACUGUAUAGCUAGAGUGCGGCAGAGGGGGAUGGAAUUCCGCGUGUAGCAGUGAAAUGCGUAGAUAUGCGGAGGAACACCGAUGGCGAAGGCAAUCCCCUGGGCCUGCAC